AGUUUCCAGCCUUUUUCACAAAGUUGCCGACAACUGGAAGAAUGUCCCAAAUUGCUGAAAAAAGAAAUUCAGUAAGUCCUUAUAAAAGAGACAGUUUAAAAGAUUGAGUAAUUUUCACUCUAGAGACCCUGGGGUGACCACCAAGGACGAAUGAAAACUCCAGUGAGUGUCUCUAAGGUAGAUCCUAAUGCAGAUGGAUGGAAUGUUGAUCCGCCUAACAUGCAAGAUUUUCUGUACCGAGAACUUUGGAUGACCAUCAAGACAAGCACUCGUUUUGAGUCCUGAGACCCUGGGGUGACCACCGUGAACAAAUACAGACUGCAAAAAGGCAGUCUUGACGGUUCUAGGAUGAAUGCAAAUAAAGACUGACCACCUGACUUCAGCGGUCCAGUCUCUUGUGGGAAGCAGGUGUUUGUUACCCCAAAUACGGAUGAAGAGUGACGAAGAGGAUGAUGACUUUUUUCUCAAACAUCAUCUGAAGAUCUUGACAGGCUGGAGACAAAAUUAACAGACUGAGGGUUUAUACAAAGAAUCUUACUCAGCCAAUAUUAAAGAUAAGAUAUUUUUACAAAA